CCUACGGGAGGCAGCAGUGGGGAAUUUUGGACAAUGGGCGAAAGCCUGAUCCAGCAAUGCCGCGUGAGUGAAGAAGGCCUUCGGGUUGUAAAGCUCUUUUGUCAGGGAAGAAACGGUGAGGGCUAAUAUCUCUUGCUAAUGACGGUACCUGAAGAAUAAGCACCGGCUAACUACGUGCCAGCAGCCGCGGUAAUACGUAGGGUGCAAGCGUUAAUCGGAAUUACUGGGCGUAAAGCGUGCGCAGGCGGUUUUGUAAGUCUGUCGUGAAAUCCCCGGGCUCAACCUGGGAAUUGCGAUGGAGACUGCAAGGCUAGAAUCUGGCAGAGGGGGGUAGAAUUCCACGUGUAGCAGUGAAAUGCGUAGAGAUGUGGAGGAACACCGAUGGCGAAGGCAGCCCCCUGGGUCAAGAUUGACGCUCAUGCACGAAAGCGUGGGGAGCAAACAGGAUUAGAUACCCUGGUAGUCCACGCCCUAAACGAUGUCUACUAGUUGUCGGGUUUUAAUUAACUUGGUAACGCAGCUAACGCGUGAGUAGACCGCCUGGGGAGUACGGUCGCAGAUUAAACUUCAAAGGAAUUGACGG
rnacentral:rRNA from 1 species